rnacentral:tRNA from 1 species
AGAGCGACGGACUCCGGAUCCGUAGGUCGGAGGUUCGAAUCCUCUCAGGCGCG